AUUGAACGCUGGCGGCAGGCCUAACACAUGCAAGUCGAGCGGAUGAAGGGAGCUUGCUCCUGGAUUCAGCGGCGGACGGGUGAGUAAUGCCUAGGAAUCUGCCUGGUAGCGGGGGAUAACGUCCGGAAACGGGCGCUAAUACCGCAUACGUCCUGAGGGAGAAAGUGGGGGAUCUUCGGACCUCACGCUAUCAGAUGAGCCUAGGUCGGAUUAGCUAGUUGGUGGGGUAAAGGCCUACCAAGGCGACGAUCCGUAACUGGUCUGAGAGGAUGAUCAGUCACACGGGAACUGAGACACGGUCCAGACUCCUACGGGAGGCAGCAGUGGGGAAUAUUGGACAAGGGGCGAAAGCCUGAUCCAGCCAUGCCGCGUGUGUGAAGAAGGUCUUCGGAUUGUAAAGCACUUUAGGUUGGGAGGAAGGGCAGUAAGUUAAUACCUUGCUGUUUUGACGGUACCAACAGAAUAAGCACCGGCUAACUUCGUG
rnacentral:rRNA from 1 species